GCUGGCGGCAUGCUUAACACAUGCAAGUCGAACGGUAACAGGCCCUUCGGGGCGCUGACGAGUGGCGGACGGGUGAGUAACGCGUAGGAAUCUGCCCAGUAGCGGGGGACAACCCGGGGAAACUCGGGCUAAUACCGCAUACGCCCUACGGGGGAAAGAGGGGGAUCUUUUCGGAGACCUCUCACUAUUGGAUGAGCCUGCGUCGGAUUAGCUUGUUGGUAGGGUAAAGGCCUACCAAGGCGACGAUCCGUAGCUGGUCUGAGAGGACGACCAGCCACACUGGGACUGAGACACGGCCCAGACUCCUACGGGAGGCAGCAGUGGGGAAUAUUGGACAAUGGGGGCAACCCUGAUCCAGCAAUGCCGCGUGUGUGAAGAAGGUCUUCGGGUUGUAAAGCACUUUCAGUGGGGACGAAAAGCUCGAGGCUAAUACCCUCGCGUCUUGACGGUACCUACAGAAGAAGCACCGGCUAACUCCGUGCCAGCAGCCGCGGUAAUACGGAGGGUGCGAGCGUUAAUCGGAUUUACUGGGCGUAAAGCGUGCGUAGGCGGUUCGGUUAGUCAGAUGUGAAAGCCCUGGGCUUAACCUGGGAACUGCGUUUGAUACUGUCGAGCUAGAGUUUGGUAGA
rnacentral:rRNA from 1 species